AGAGUUUGAUCAUGGCUCAGAUUGAACGCUGGCGGCAGGCUUAACACAUGCAAGUCGAGCGGUAGCACAGAGAAACUUGUUUCUUGGGUGACGAGCGGCGGACGGGUGAGUAACGCGUAGGAAUCUGCCUGGUAGUGGGGGACAACAUGUGGAAACGCAUGCUAAUACCGCAUACGCCCUACGGGGGAAAGGAGGGGAUCUUCGGACCUUUCGCUAUCAGAUGAGCCUGCGUGAGAUUAGCUAGUUGGUGGGGUAAAGGCUCACCAAGGCGACGAUCUCUAGCUGGUCUGAGAGGAUGAUCAGCCACACUGGGACUGAGACACGGCCCAGACUCCUACGGGAGGCAGCAGUGGGGAAUAUUGGACAAUGGGCGCAAGCCUGAUCCAGCCAUGCCGCGUGUGUGAAGAAGGCCUUAGGGUUGUAAAGCACUUUCAGGAGUGAGGAAGGGUGUACGGUUAAUACCCGUAUAUUUUGACGUUAACUCCAGAAGAAGCACCGGCUAACUCUGUGCCAGCAGCCGCGGUAAUACAGAGGGUGCGAGCGUUAAUCGGAAUUACUGGGCGUAAAGCGCGCGUAGGCGGUUUGUUAAGUCGGAUGUGAAAUCCCAGGGCUCAACCUUGGAAUGGCACCCGAUACUGGCAGGCUAGAGUACGGUAGAGGGGUGUGGAAUUUCCUGUGUAGCGGUGAAAUGCGUAGAUAUAGGAAGGAACAUCAGUGGCGAAGGCGACACCCUGGACCGAUACUGACG
rnacentral:rRNA from 1 species